rnacentral:lncRNA from 1 species
CCUAUUCAACAUUGUCUAUAACAAAACUAUCUUUAUUGAUUAUGCCCAGGUAAGACAAAGUAAAUAUAUUAAAAGAUAGGAAUGCAGGUGUGUAGGAAUGGAGAGAAAGUGAGAGAGACAGAGAGAGCGAGAGAGAGAGUGGGAUGGAGAACAGGAGAGAGGAACAGGUCUACCCGGUCUGUUCCUCUGGUCUAGUGCCUUCAUGAUGACACACCUGUUCAUUGGGGUGGAGCUGAGGCUGGUGGCUGCUCUUUAACUAGAGAGAGGAGACACGGCUACAGAGAGAGGUACAGCGAGGAGAGGGAAGUGAGGAGUAAGGUCAUUUCACUGGGACUGACAGAACACACAGCCUCCCAGGAUGUUCAGCAAGAAGAAGGAGUACGACCUGGUGAAAGUGGCCCAGAGCCAAGGUAAUGAUGUGGCUGUGCUGGUGGCGCGCAUGCAGAGCAAUGCAGACCAGGUGGAGAAGAAUGUGCUGCGCUCUGAGGAGCUGAUGGCUGUGGUAAGAGGUCCUACCAUCCCUACCCACACACUGCCUACAUACACAGUUAUACGUACACUUUUACCUAACACGUUACAAUGCCCAACUUAAUGAAAUACGCAUCCCUUAAUUCCACUUGAUCAAGUAAAAACUUUUCAAUCCCCCCACAGAUAUUUUAUCAAUGUGCAAUUCAACACAAAUGUGUCAUGAUGAGUGGCUUUCCGUUUCUGUUCCAGGACACAGUGAAUGACAAGAAGUACAGGCCCUUACUGCACCAGAAGGAGAAUACAGAGAUCCUAGCUGAGGCUGAGGGGCUGCUGAAGGAUCUGUUCCUGGAUGUGGACCGGGCCAAGAAGCUUUCACACCCACAGGCUGGAGAGAUAGAGAUUGAGUGAGUUCCAGCAAGAACACACACACACACACACACUCUUUCCCUCUUUCAAUAUGCCUCUUAUUUCUCCUUUUUUUCUGGUCCUCAGUGUGAGAAACCUCCAUGACCGCUGGUCCAAGGACUGUACCAUGUACCGGGACCUGUAUGAGGCAGUGCAGGAGGUGGAGCUCACUCCCAGGAUUGACUGGUCUCAGGUGCUGGAGGAGAAACAGGUGAGCCUGCCAUAUCCUUGGUAACACUCUAUUCAAGACCAGUAUGACCGUAUAUGGUACUGUCCUGCCAUUAUAUAACAACUUUGGUUGACCACCGCU